rnacentral:rRNA from 1 species
GUUGUAUGGUUAAGUGACUAAGCGUACACGGUGGAUGCCUUGGCAGUCAGAGGCGAUGAAAGACGUAGUAACUUGCGAUAAGCCCAGAUUAGGUAGUAACAACCAUUUGAGUCUGGGAUUUCUGAAUGGGGAAACCCACGUGCAUAAGCACGUAUCCUUACCUGAAUACAUAGGGUAAGGAGGCGAACCGGGGGAACUGAAACAUCUAAGUACCCCGAGGAAAAGAAAUCAACCGAGAUUCCGAAAGUAGCGGCGAGCGAAAUUGGACUAGCCCUUAAGCUUUACACGCGUUAGACGAACGGUCUGGAAAGUCCGACGAUACAGGGUGAUAGUCCCGUAGUUGACGACGUGUGUUCAGUGAAAUCGAGUAGGGCGGGACACGUGAUAUCCUGUCUGAAUAUGGGGGGACCAUCCUCCAAGGCUAAAUACUACUGACUGACCGAUAGUGAACCAGUACCGUGAGGGAAAGGCGAAAAGAACCCCUGUGAGGGGAGUGAAAUAGAACCUGAAACCGUGUACGUACAAGCAGUAGGAGCAGGCUUUGUCCUGUGACUGCGUACCUUUUGUAUAAUGGGUCAGCGACUUAUAUUCAGUGGCAAGGUUAACCAUCUAGGGGAGCCGUAGGGAAACCGAGUCUUAACUGGGCGUUCAGUCUCUGGAUAUAGACCCGAAACCAGGUGAUCUAGCCAUGGGCAGGUUGAAGGUUGAGUAACAUCAACUGGAGGACCGAACCGACUAAUGUUGAAAAAUUAGCGGAUGACUUGUGGCUAGGGGUGAAAGGCCAAUCAAACCUGGAGAUAGCUGGUUCUCCCCGAAAGCUAUUUAGGUAGCGCCUCGGACGAAUACUACUGGGGGUAGAGCACUGUUAAGGCUAGGGGGUCAUCCCGACUUACCAACCCUUUGCAAACUCCGAAUACCAGUAAGUACUAUCCGGGAGACACACGGCGGGUGCUAACGUCCGUCGUGGAGAGGGAAACAACCCAGACCGCCAGCUAAGGUCCCAAAUUACUACUAAGUGGGAAACGAUGUGGGAAGGCUCAGACAGCCAGGAUGUUGGCUUAGAAGCAGCCAUCAUUUAAAGAAAGCGUAAUAGCUCACUGGUCGAGUCGGCCUGCGCGGAAGAUGUAACGGGGCUAAGUAGUAAACCGAAGCUGCGGCAAUAUACUUUUGUAUAUUGGGUAGGGGAGCGUUCUGUAAGCGGUUGAAGGUGUGUGGUAACGCAUGCUGGACGUAUCAGAAGUGCGAAUGCUGACAUGAGUAACGAUAAAGGGGGUGAAAAACCUCCUCGCCGGAAGACCAAGGGUUCCUGUCCAACGUUAAUCGGGGCAGGGUAAGUCGACCCCUAAGGCGAGGCCGAAAGGCGUAGUCGAUGGGAAACGGGUUAAUAUUCCCGUACUUCUUACAAUUGCGAUGGGGGGACGGAGAAGGCUAGGUGGGCCUGGCGACGGUUGUCCAGGUUCAAGUGCGUAGGCUUAAGAGUUAGGUAAAUCCGGCUCUUUCUAAGGCUGAGACACGACGUCGAGCAUCUACGGAUGUGAAGUCAUUGAUGCCAUGCUUCCAGGAAAAGCCUCUAAGCUUCAGAUUGUAAGGAAUCGUACCCCAAACCGACACAGGUGGUCGGGUAGAGAAUACCAAGGCGCUUGAGAGAACUCGGGUGAAGGAACUAGGCAAAAUGGUACCGUAACUUCGGGAGAAGGUACGCUCUCGACGGUGAAGUCCCUUGCGGAUGGAGCUAUUGAGAGUCGCAGAUACCAGGUGGCUGCAACUGUUUAUUAAAAACACAGCACUGUGCAAAAUCGUAAGAUGACGUAUACGGUGUGACGCCUGCCCGGUGCCGGAAGGUUAAUUGAUGGGGUUAGACUUCGGUCGAAGCUCUUGAUCGAAGCCCCGGUAAACGGCGGCCGUAACUAUAACGGUCCUAAGGUAGCGAAAUUCCUUGUCGGGUAAGUUCCGACCUGCACGAAUGGCGUAAUGAUGGCCACGCUGUCUCCACCCGAGACUCAGUGAAAUUGAAAUCGCUGUGAAGAUGCAGUGUACCCGCGGCUAGACGGAAAGACCCCGUGAACCUUUACUACAGCUUGGCACUGAACAUUGACCCUACAUGUGUAGGAUAGGUGGGAGGCUUUGAAGCACGUACGCCAGUAUGUGUGGAGCCGUCCUUGAAAUACCACCCUUGUAGUGUUGAUGUUCUAACGUCGACCCCUUAUCGGGGUUGCGGACAGUGCCUGGUGGGUAGUUUGACUGGGGCGGUCUCCUCCCAAAGAGUAACGGAGGAGCACGAAGGUGGGCUAAUCACGGUUGGACAUCGUGAGGUUAGUGCAAUGGCAUAAGCCCGCUUGACUGCGAGAAUGACAAUUCGAGCAGGUGCGAAAGCAGGUCAUAGUGAUCCGGUGGUUCUGAAUGGAAGGGCCAUCGCUCAACGGAUAAAAGGUACUCCGGGGAUAACAGGCUGAUACCGCCCAAGAGUUCAUAUCGACGGCGGUGUUUGGCACCUCGAUGUCGGCUCAUCACAUCCUGGGGCUGAAGUCGGUCCCAAGGGUAUGGCUGUUCGCCAUUUAAAGUGGUACGCGAGCUGGGUUUAGAACGUCGUGAGACAGUUCGGUCCCUAUCUGCCGUGGGCGUUGGAAGAUUGAAGGGGGCUGCUCCUAGUACGAGAGGACCGGAGUGGACGAACCUCUGGUGUUCGGGUUGUGUCGCCAGACGCAUUGCCCGGUAGCUAAGUUCGGAAUCGAUAACCGCUGAAAGCAUCUAAGCGGGAAGCGAGCCCUGAGAUGAGUCUUCCCUGAUACUUUAAGUAUCCUAAAGGGUUGUCGGAGACUACGACGUUGAUAGGUCAGGUGUGUAAGUGCUGUGAGGCAUUGAGCUAACUGAUACUAAUUGCCCGUGAGGCUUAACCAUACAACACCCAAGGGGUUU